GCAGCGGUGGUUCAGUGGUAGAAUACUCGCCUGCCACGCGGGUGACCCGGGUUCGAUUCCCGGCCGACGCA
rnacentral:tRNA from 1 species